GAUGAACGCUGACAGCAUGCUUAACACAUGCAAGUCUUUGGCGAAGCUGUGCUUGCACAGCCUAGCCAAGGCGGACGGGUGAGUAACGCGUAAGGAACUUGCCCUGCAGUCAGGGAUAACAGACGGAAACGACUGAUAAGACCUGGUAAAGUCAGGCGGACUCAUGUCCAGCCUGAUGAAAAGAGAUGCUGCAGGAGAGCCUUGCGUCCUAUUAGCUUGUUGGUGGGGUAACGGCCCACCAAGGCGAUGAUAGGUAGCCGGCCUGAGAGGGUGGACGGCCACAAGGGGACUGAGAUACGGCCCUUACUCCUACGGGAGGCAGCAGUGGGGAAUAUUGGACAAUGGGGGCAACACUGAUCCAGCAAUUCUGUGUGCACGAUGAAGGUUUUCGGAUUGUAAAGUGCUUUCAGCAGGGAAGAAAAAAAUGACGGUACCUGCAGAAGAAGCGACGGCUAAAUACGUG
rnacentral:rRNA from 1 species